rnacentral:rRNA from 1 species
UACGAAGGGGGGCGAGCGUUGUUCGGAUUUACUGGGCGUAAAGGGCGCGCAGGCGGCUCCAAAAGUCAGGCGUGAAAGCCCCGGGCUUAACCUGGGAGGUGCGUCUGGGACUGUGGGGCUAGAGUUCGGGGAGAGGAGCGUGGAAUUCCCAGUGUAGAGGUGAAAUUCGUAGAUAUUGGGGAAGAAACACCGGUGGGCGAAGGGCGGCGCUCUGGACCCGA